rnacentral:rRNA from 1 species
CAAAAGAAGCAGAGGGGGCUUAGUGGUGGGGUGACUGCGUACCUUUUGUAUAAUGGGUCAGCGACUUAUAUUCUGUAGCAAGGUUAACCGAAUAGGGGAGCCGGAGGGAAACCGAGUCUUAACCGGGCGUUAAGUUGCAGGGUAUAGACCCGAAACCCGGUGAUCUAGCCAUGGGCAGGUUGAAGGUUGGGUAACACUAACUGGAGGACCGAACCGACUAAUGUUGAAAAAUUAGCGGAUGACCUGUGGCUGGGGGUGAAAGGCCAAUCAAACCGGGAGAUAGCUGGUUCUCCCCGAAAGCUAUUUAGGUAGCGCCUCGUGAAUUCAUCUCCGGGGGUAGAGCACUGUUUCGGCUAGGGGGUCAUCCCGACUUACCAACCCGAUGCAAACUGCGAAUACCGGAGAAUGUUAUCACGGGAGACACACGGCGGGUGCUAACGUCCGUCGUGAAGAGGGAAACAACCCAGACCGCCAGCUAAGGUCCCAAAGUCAUGGUUAAGUGGGAAACGAUGUGGGAAGGCCCAGACAGCCAGGAUGUUGGCUUAGAAGCAGCCAUCAUUUAAAGAAAGCGUAAUAGCUCACUGGUCGAGUCGGCCUGCGCGGAAGAUGUAACGGGGCUAAACCAUGCACCGAAGCUGCGGCAGCGACACUAUGUGUUGUUGGGUAGGGGAGCGUUCUGUAAGCCUGCGAAGGUGUCUCGUGAGGGAUGCUGGAGGUAUCAGAAGUGCGAAUGCUGACAUAAGUAACGAUAAUGCGGGUGAAAAACCCGCACGCCGGAAGACCAAGGGUUCCUGUCCAACGUUAAUCGGGGCAGGGUGAGUCGACCCCUAAGGCGAGGCCGAAAGGCGUAGUCGAUGGGAAACAGGUUAAUAUUCCUGUACUUGGUGUUACUGCGAAGGGGGGACGGAGAAGGCUAUGUUAGCCGGGCGACGGUUGUCCCGGUUUAAGCAUGUAGGCGGAGGUUCCAGGUAAAUCCGGUACCUUAUUAACGCUGAGGUGUGAUGACGAGGCACUACGGUGCUGAAGUAACAAAUG